UCGCUGCUCAUUGAGUAGCUCAUAUAUUAAACUGAUUUUUGGAAACUGGCUGUGGAAUAAGCGGCUUGCUGCGUCCCAGCCACGGGUUGUCUCGGUAUUGCACUACCUCCGAGUACGGCCCCCUUCCC
rnacentral:snRNA from 1 species